rnacentral:rRNA from 1 species
GACGAACGCUGGCGGCACGCUUAACACAUGCAAGUCGAACGGAGAAUUUUUGGUUUACUGGAGAUUCUUAGUGGCGGACGGGUGAGUAACACGUGAGCAACCUGCCUUUGAGAGAGGGAUAGCUUCUGGAAACGGAUGGUAAUACCUCAUGACAUAGUUUAGCCGCAUGACUGAACUAUCAAAGAUUUAUCACUCAAAGAUGGGCUCGCGUCUGAUUAGAUAGUUGGUGAGGUAACGGCUCACCAAGUCGACGAUCAGUAGCCGGACUGAGAGGUUGAACGGCCACAUUGGGACUGAGACACGGCCCAG